CAGCCGCCGCGGUAAUACCGAGGGUGCGAGCGUUAAUCGGAUUUACUGGGCGUAAAGCGUGCGUAGGCGGCUUUUUAAGUCGGAUGUGAAAUCCCUGAGCUUAACUUAGGAAUUGCAUUCGAUACUGGGAAGCUAGAGUAUGGGAGAGGAUGGUAGAAUUCCAGGUGUAGCGGUGAAAUGCGUAGAGAUCUGGAGGAAUACCGAUGGCGAAGGCAGCCAUCUGGCCUAAUACUGACGCUGAGGUACAAAAGCAUGGGGAGCAAACAGGAUUAGAUACCCGGGUAGUCCCUGUCUCUUAUAC
rnacentral:rRNA from 1 species